rnacentral:rRNA from 1 species
CAGUAGCCGCGGUAAUACGUAGGGUGCAAGCGUUAAUCGGAAUUACUGGGCGUAAAGCGUGCGCAGGCGGCUUGUUAAGACAGAUGUGAAAUCCCCGGGCUCAACCUGGGAAUGGCAGUGGAUACUGGCUCGCUAGAGUGUGUCAGAGGAUGGUGGAAUUCCCGGUGUAGCGGUGAAAUGCGUAGAGAUCGGGAGGAACAUCAGUGGCGAAGGCGGCCAUCUGGGACAACGCUGACGCUGAGGCACGAAAGCGUGGGGAGCAAACAGGAUUAGAUACCCGCGUAGUCCCUGUCUCUUAUAC